AACAUGUCUUUAAGAAUAUAAUUUAAAGUCGAAUYUGCUCAAUGAUAUUAAAUUAAAUAGCUGCAGAAUUUUAACUGUACAAAGGUAGCAUAAUCAAUAGUUUUUUAAUUAAAAGCUGGAAUGAAAGAUUUGAUAAGGUAAAUAUUGUCUCAAUAUUAAUAAAUUUAGAAUUUUUUUUUUAGUAAAAAUACUAAAUUAACUUUUAAAGACGAGAAGACCCUAUAGAUUUUUAUAUUUAUUAAAUAAAAUUAUGUUUAAUGAUUUAUGAUUAUAUUUAAUAAAUAUUAGGUUGGGGUAAUUAUUAAAUUUAAUAAAUUUUAAUUUGAAUAAAACAAUAAUUAUUGAUUAAUUGAUCUUAAUUUUUAAAAUAUGAGAAUAAAAUACCUUAGGGAUAACAGCGUAAUUUUUUUAGAGAGAUCAUAUUAAUAAAAAAGUUUGCGACCUCGAUGUUGAAUUAAGAUAAAAUUUUAAUGAAGAAAUUAAAAAGUUUUGGUCUGUUCGACCAUUAAAAUCUUACGUGAUC
rnacentral:rRNA from 1 species